rnacentral:misc_RNA from 1 species
CGGGGACGUUCAAGUUCAAGAGUAGAACGCUUGCACUAUACACACGGAUACAUAUAUGCGCGUACAUACACUCAAUACUAUCUCCCUCUCUCUCGCUUUGCGUUUUGGGUCGCCUUUAUUCUCUGAUGUUUGUUGAUGGUUCUGCACCUCUGCCUCUGAAGAGAAGGAGACUCACCACCAUUGAUAUCAUGGAAGCUGAAGCAGCUAAGGCCAAACUUGCAGCUGUCAAGGAAAAGGUUGGGCGAGAUGUCCGUGUUUUUGAAACAUUAGGGCUUUCUUCUUCAACAAAUCAAGUGUCUGAUGAGGAGUCAGAUGACUUCUAUGAGUUCACUGCAGAGGAUUAUCAUAGAAUUUUGGCAACAAGAAAGGAAGAUAAAUAUUUGAAGACUAAAAAAAAUUCGAGAUGCCGAAGAAGCAGCUCGCAGGUCAAGAAUAACAAAGGCUGUGAUUAGGGUUCGCUUUCCUGAUAAUCAUACAUUGGAGGUAGCUUUUCUUCCAUCAGAAAAGAUUCAGAGUUUAUUUGAUCUUCUCAUGAAAGUGGUUGCACGACCAGAAGUACCUUUCUAUUUAUAUACAACUCCUCCCAAGAAGCAAAUAAAAGACAUGCUGCAGGAUUUUUACUCGGCUGGCUUUGUUCCUGGUGCAAUUGUGUAUUUUUCAUAUGAUCUACCGCAAGGAGAUGAUUCUGCAGCUCUCAGUUCUGGUCCCUUCCUCCAAGAAGAGAUAAUGUCUUUGAAAGGUUGGGAAUUGAUUUCGGAACCAGCAGAGCCUGUUCAGUCUGCUGGACCAGAACCUGUAACAGUGGCUCCUUCCCCUGUCCCUCAAGAGUCCAAGUCUGCUGGGAAAAAACCCAUCAAACCGAAGUGGCUGAAAAUGUGAUACAACCAACUCUGCCAGUGAGCACCCCAUUCCUGAGGGUAACUGAAGGGAUAUAGAAUGUGUGGAAUCCAUUAUAAACUGAAUCUUUAGGAAGUUGUAAAAGGCUCAAGGAAAUGACUUGCUUCUUACCCUCAGCUCGUGUAUCAUGUGAAUAUUAAUUGUGCCUUGCCUCAAGUUUUCACGAAUGGCUUGUCAUUGCUCUGUUGGUAACUUUGUAUUAAUUGAUAAUUUUCGUAUGUUGAUCCAUUCUUUAGCUGUACUAAAGAGUGGAAGUAGGCCAUCACAAUAUUCCUGCUCACAAAGGCGGCAUUUUCUAAUCAUCUAAUGAAAUAAUAAUGUAGAAGCUCAUAAUGUAACUAUAAUUUCCCUACUGAUUCCGAAUUUUUAUCCAUUUUGACAAGGCUUAAACUGGUCUUUGGUGAUUAUUAUGUGAUGCAAGUAGUAAUUUUGUGUGUUAGCAAUGAUUUGGGAAAUGGGACGGGAUUGAAG